rnacentral:sRNA from 2 species
CAACACUGAUGCCAAAAUCUUGUCUCAUUUGCAGAUAAAUCAAGAUAGUUUGUUUGUAUUUCAAGUUCAUUAGAAUGACUCUUCUCCAUCUUCAUCACAGUGUCUUUCAUCUUCUUCUUCAUCUUCUUAUCUAUCUUCAUUAGAGUGUCUCUCAUCUUCUUUACAGAUUUCUUCUCUGUUUCUGAUUCUAUAUUAUAUUCCAAUUUCUCCAACUUGAAUAACUUGAAUAGGUCCUUCUCUAUCUUGAUUAUCUCUGAUUUAUCAACUUUGGCUUUGAAUUUGAUUUUGGUUUGAAGUGAUCAGCUUUGUUUGAUACAACUUAGAUUGAAUAAAUUGACAGAGAGAGUAUAUUUAUAUUUGAUCAUCAAUGUAGAGAUAUUCUUUUCUUUAAUUUUGAUAUUUGAUGAUUUGACUUUGACAUUUGUUGGUUCUGAUGAUUGUUUGAUGGAAUGAUUGAAUUCAUUAUAGAUAACAAGAC